CUCCUACGGGUGGCUGCAGUGGGGAAUCUUCCGCAAUGGACGAAAGUCUGACGGAGCAACGCCGCGUGAGUGACGAAGGCCUUCGGGUUGUAAAGCUCUGUUAUCGGGGAAGAACACUUUUCGUGUGAACAAUGCGGGGAGUUGACGGUACCCGAGGAGGAAGCCACGGCUAACUACGUGCCAGCAGCCGCGGUAAUACGUAGGUGGCGAGCGUUGUCCGGAAUUAUUGGGCGUAAAGCGCGCGUAGGCGGGAUAUUAAGUCUCAUUUAAAAGUGCGGGGCUCAACCCCGUGAUGGGUGAGAAACUAAUAUUCUUGAGUGCCGGAGAGGAAAGCGGAAUUCCCAGUGUAGCGGUGAAAUGCGUAGAUAUUGGGAGGAACACCAGUGGCGAAGGCGGCUUUCUGGACGGUGUCUGACGCUGAGGCGCGAAAGCCAGGGGAGCGAACGGGAUUAGAUACCCCGGUAGUC
rnacentral:rRNA from 1 species